rnacentral:rRNA from 1 species
AUUGAACGCUGGCGGCAGGCCUAACACAUGCAAGUCGAGCGGCAGCGGGAAAGUAGCUUGCUACUUUUGCCGGCGAGCGGCGGACGGGUGAGUAAUGCCUGGGAAAUUGCCCAGUCGAGGGGGAUAACAGUUGGAAACGACUGCUAAUACCGCAUACGCCCUACGGGGGAAAGCAGGGGACCUUCGGGCCUUGCGCGAUUGGAUAUGCCCAGGUGGGAUUAGCUAGUUGGUGAGGUAAUAGCUCACCAAGGCGACGAUCCCUAGCUGGUCUGAGAGGAUGAUCAGCCACACUGGAACUGAGACACGGUCCAGACUCCUACGGGAGGCAGCAGUGGGGAAUAUUGCACAAUGGGGGAAACCCUGAUGCAGCCAUGCCGCGUGUGUGAAGAAGGCCUUCGGGUUGUAAAGCACUUUCAGCGAGGAGGAAAGGUUGAUGCCUAAUACGUAUCAACUGUGACGUUACUCGCAGAAGAAGCACCGGCUAACUCCGUGCCAGCAGCCGCCGCAG